GGUCCAAAAGGUCUAAACAAGUGUUGUCAAUCGCAGAUCAUAGAAAAGAUCAAUUCAUUCAAAUUCCACUACGCAACAAUGCUAUAGUGCCGUUAUAACUGUUAUUGACAACAUUUUGUUAGUGUAUGGCGGAUCAACACUGGUUUAAGCCAUUUGAUUUUCAUCCCACUUUAGUCUUCUCUGUUGUUAUCCGAUGUGGACUUAUUGCAUAUGCUUAUGUAGGUAAUGAGUUGAGUGGUACAGGCGUUCGUGCAUCAGUUGACGUUGCACAGUAUGGGAAAGACGUGAUAAACCUUAAACGAAUUCUAGAUGAGUUAUACAAGAACUCGAGGUUCAAACCCUUACUUGUAGCACCUGAUGGAAGUUAUGAUAAGGAAUGGUACAAUAAGCUUCUUCAGCUUUCUGGUCCAGGCGUAAUCAAUGUUCUGACUCAUCAUUUAUAUAACAUAGGCCGAGGUUUGCUUAUCACUCACAUAAUUCUUUCUAGUAUAGUCAAUUUCACUAAAUAUCUAAUAUCCUAAGAUAUGUAGAUAUUCUUCAUUUGUUUCUAUUGCUGUUUUAAUUUCUUUUACUUGAGGAAUUGGUGGUUUACUCAUAUUGAAAUUGUAUCAGAAUAUAUGUUUUGUUCACUUGCAUGCAAAAUAUUACUGUCUACCAUUCAUAAUCAAUUUCUAAGUUAAUUUCUCUUUUUCAGCUAUUGACACACAUCUUUUAGAGAGGAUUUUAGAUCCUGAUAAGUUGAGCGAAGCGGAAACAACUUUCAGAAAUCUUUCAGAAACCAUUCAAAAACAUGGUCCUUGGGCUUCUGCAUGGGUAGGAGAAUCUGGCGGGAUAUCUUGGAGUGGCGGUCGUGAUGUAUCUGACACAUUUGUGAAUAGCUUUUGGUAAUAAUGAUUCCAUCAUUUUCUUUUCCUCUUUUUAAGUUUUAGGUGCCAAAAGAAGAAUUCUGAUUUUUUACUUAGAAUGUGUUUAACCAAUUAUAUGAAUGACUCGUCGUAGGUACUUAGAUCAACUUGGAAUGGCAUCCACCUACAAUACCAAAGUUUAUUGUAGGCAGUCAUUAAUUGGAGGGAACUAUGGUCUUCUCAAUACCUCCACUCUCGCUCCUAAUCCUGACUACUACAGGCACGUAUAAAUUAAAUAUUACAGAAUUUUUUUUUUUUUAGAGACUAAUAGAUAGCUUGAUAUACUUUUAUUUGAGGAUUUAUAGUGGUAAUGCAUGUCAUUGUUAAACAUAUCUAAUCCUAGAUUCUGUUUCUGCAAACAGCGCACUAUUGUGGCAUCGGCUGAUGGGAAAGAAGGUUCUUGGUGUUUCGACUGAUAUUUCUUUGCCAUUUUUACGCACCUACACCCAUUGUUCAAAAGAAAGGGUAAGUAUGCUAAUUUACUACAACCUCUUAGGAAGGAUAUUAUAUUAUAGAGGAACCUGAUGAGUCCAGUUUUUAUUCUUUUAUAUAUGAUAUGAUAAAUAUAAUGACAUCAUAUGAAGCUUAACACGCGUGUGCUAGAAAUGAUGUAAAUAUGGUAACUAUGGAUUGACUUUUUGGCGAUUAUUAUAAUUCGAGUAUCUUAAUUAGUGUAACUAUGGGAUACCGAUUCUUAAUAGUUUCGUAGUUGAGACACAUAGGUUCUGUCAAAUGUCUAGUUUCUGAGAGACAAUAGUCCAUGAAUACCUAGUGGAUCCGUUAUUAAUUGCUGUAUUUUCCCCUAAAACCAUGCUUCUGCUUCGGUUUCUGAUCUGCACUGACAUUGGCAGCCAUGUUUAUCUUUUUUCGACCUGUUAGAAUUCAGAGAAUUCUCGAGAGGAACUGAUAUUAUUAAAGUUGAAAAAUGAACUGAUUCAGAUGCAAGGGAGGUCGCAACUAUUUAUAGAAGUUGACGGACGAAGAUAAUAGCAACUGUUCAGCUAGAUCUGUGUGAUCAGAUACAGUUACAAUAAACUUAUAAACCCGAGUAAGUAGACUCUAAUACUCUCCUGAAACCUCAAGGUGGGUCGGAGCCAUGAAAAGAUGAUAGAUCAUACACAGUGGUUAGGAUAUGAGAACUACAUAUGUCAUAUCUUUAGACAACGUGGGACUAAACACAAACCGUCAUUCCCAACAGAAUGAAGGUGCUGCAGACUACAACAUAGGCAACCCAAAGUUUCCGCUAUUAAAGCGGCUAGCGGAAAACUACAAUUAAUGCUACUUUCAUCUUUCUAACAUAUUUUAAUUGCUAAACUGAAUAAGGUCAUCUCCAUUCCCAUUAAAUAUAUAAAUAUUUCCACACUACCUUCUAUCCAAUAAAGAUCUUUGCUUUCUAGAUCUUUAUGUUUUUCGAAACUAUAUGCAAUUUCAGUUGAUAAUGAAUGUAUGAUAAUAUUGAAUCCCGGUUGAUUCAGUGUCAUGCUUAAUUUCCUACUAAUUGUUACCAAUUUGAUUUUACAGGCUGGUGUAACAUUAUUGUUGAUCAACUUAAGCAAUCAAACUCAGUUCAUACUCAAUGUGAAAAACCAUGUAACUGUUAAAACAAAUGAAGUGGCCAAAUUCAGGGAAGAGUAUCACUUGACUCCAAAAGAUAAUAACCUCAGAAGCCAAACCAUGGUGCUGAAUGGCAUUCCACUCAAGUUAACAAAUAAAGGGGAUAUUCCAACAAUGGAUCCAGUGCACAAUAAUGUGAAAUCUUCAAUACACAUAGCUCCUUUGUCCAUUGCAUUUAUUGUGUACCUAAACUUUGAUGCUCCAGCUUGUGCCAGGCACUGAAAACUAUAUAGCCUUGUAAACUAGGCCUUAAAAAUAAGGAACUACAAGCUCUUUGUAAUUCUAAGUAGUGAACAAGUUAACCCACUUGCGUUGGCUCAGUGGUGUUACCUUGGGACUUUGGAGUGUGAUCCUCUCAAGGUUUCAGAUUCGAUUCUCUUCGGUGCCAAUUUCAUUAUGCAAGUUAUAUACAACCUUUACAAUAAUUUUAAUUUUGAAGAAGCAUAAAAAUGUAUCAACUUAUAAAUCAUAUCCACAAUAAUGGGUUUAUUAAGCAAGAUUUUAUAUUAAAUUCUUUACAACAAUUGCAUUCACAAUAUUAGGAUGUUAGAGAUCUGUUAGCGUGUCAUGACCAAAAUUUAAAAUCUUAAAUCUUGUUGCCAAUUUCCACAAGAUACCUUGUUAGAAAAGAAAGUUUCAAAAUCUUACAUCUUACUUGAAUUUAUCUUAUAACAUAAUAUUUAUGUAUAUAUUUGCAAUAAACUACUCCUGACAUGUUCAAAGAUUUUCAAAGCUUUCUAAGAUCAAAUUGUGGCGAGGAAUUUUACUGCUUCAAAGAGGAACAAGUCACUUUGGAAAGUGGCGAGUUCCAAGAUGAGAGAGUCCAGAACAAUGUAAAUGCAAGUGGAAGAAUCUUGUCAAUCGCUACAAGGUCUCUUUCUCAGAUUUGUUUGAUAAUGUGGAUGUUGCAGAGAAGAUUUUUUUGGGUUUGUGUGUUGAAAAUGGAUGAUUUACUGGGUUGGCUUUGUGUGUGUUUUCAAAGAGAAUUGCCCUUCUCCCUUUUGUUUUUGCUCAUUCCCUUAAUUCAGCUUUCAGCGAGUUUACUCAUGCCCACAAUUUUAAGAUAGGUUCAAUCAUCUUUUAAGCCGGUUCAACCGAUUUUCAAAGACUCACGCUGAAUCAAGGGAAUGAGUAAUUUUAAAAGGGGGAAGAACGAUUUUCUUAAGCAAAAGAUUGCUUUCUUGGAGAAUAAGUUGAAGAAAUUGGUUUUUUUUUCUUCUUUUCCAAUCUCACCUGCCAAUCCAAAAGUGUGUGUGAAUUUUACAUUCAGAAAUUACCUACGAGGUAUACAAUUCAUUUAAGUGAGAAGUCACGUAGGCAUUGACCAAGUCAAUGUUAAAACUUGCAAGAGGGGGAAAAGUUAGGAGUUAUAAUGUUGUUUUUAAUAGGGGACAAAAUCGCAACUAGUGGAAGUUUAAACCUAAAAAACAUUCAAAAUAAACCGCAUUAACUUGAGUCAGAUCAAUAUUUUAAUUAAUUAUUCAAAUUGAUAUCCAUGUAAUUUCAUCUUUGAAUCAAAUGAUUGUUUUUUUUUUUUUUUUCUUUAAUCCAAUAUGUAGUGUGAACACCCCUAACCAAAAUAAUUCAUUCAGUUGGACACUUUCAUUUUGAUUUGAAUUGUAUGUGUAAAUCUGACAAGAUUUGACACUUCCUCUACAAAGAAAAGGACAGUCAUUAAGUCAGAGACAUUUGUGGCCUUUCAAUUUCCAAUUUGUGUCAUUAUUGACAGCAUACUCUCUCAGCCACAGUUAUCCAACCAUUAUAUAGCCAACACAACAUGCUCUUCAAUGCCAAUGUAGCAUCCCAACAACCCAUUUAUUAGGUUCUUGUCUUCUCCAUCAAAGUUUGUUACUUUCUGUCACCCUUUUUCUUAUUCUUUCAUAUCUUGUCUGGAUGCUCUUUUUCUUAUAUAUAAUAUUUACAAGUCUAUUGGAAGCUGUUUUGUAUUGUUUUUUUAAUGAUAAGAAUGAGUUAUGUUUUUUUGACUAAGUUUGAAUUCAACCUAUUAUUCUAUGUUUUGUUUAUUGUUAUAUCUUGUUGCUGUGUCUUCAAGAUUAAAAUAAUAUAAUUAUGAUUGGUUAAUGUUUCUUACAAGUUUUGUGCUCACAUUAUUGUCUGGUUUUGAUUUGUUUAUUACUAAUAACUUAAUAAGCAUGUGAUUGUUUGAGAUUCUGACAUUGAAGUUUAUUUUCAUGAUUCACAAAAACAUAUUGAUAUUUUUUUGGUAGUGACCGGGGUUUGAACCCUGAACCUUGCAUAUUUUAUGCAUUGUUCCAACCAACUGAGCUAAACUCACACGGACAAACAUAUUGAUAUUUGAGAGAAAGUGAAGUGGCCCUUAUUGAAUUUAGGAAUAAAAUUACUAUGCCAUGGAUGGUUAUGAGUAUUGAUCAUGAGAAUAUCAGUGUUAACUUAUAAAAUGAAAUUUUCAAUUUGGAAUAUUAUAAUUUUCAAUAUUUUUUUCUUUUAUAAGUAGUGAAUUUUUUUCUUUUAUAAGUGAUGAAUUAACAUGCUUUCCAUUUCACAAAAAUCUGGUGCCAAUUUCGGUAGGCAAGUCCAUAUAGAGCUUUGCUCUGACUCUGACUUUAAAUGGGCCUCCCACAAGUGGGAAAUGGGAUUGGUCCCUUCAGAUUAGUCGGUUCUUUGAUCAGAUACUGAGUCAUGCUAACAUAUGCCCUUAGGAUUCCACAAAUAGUGAGUAUUUAUUGAAAAAAAGUAAUUUUCAUAAUUUAAAGAAAUAAACUGACACAUUUUCAAAACAUAAUUUCUAUCUUUGGUAUACUAACAUGUACCCUAAGGGCAUAUGUAAUCACUCUCUUACUUUUUAUUUGUCUGAUGUUCAGUUACUAAUCAUUAUGUGGUAUUUAUGUAAAACCUAAUUUUCUAUUUUUUAACUGUUAAAUAAAAGAAAUUGUAGAAAAAAAUGUUGGAUAAAAGAAAGUUUUAAUUCUACUCUAUAGUUUCGUCACAUCUUUCUAUAAAUCAACUUUUAUCUAUUACUGCAGUUAAUUUGGAUUAGUUACUGUGUUGGACUUGGAUGCUGCUGCAAUUGAUUCAGUCAUCAUGAGACUCUCCCUUGCAUUGUUCAUCUUUUUGGCCUCUCUUCAAGUUACUCUAAGUAAAGAUGUUGAACAUGGUUUGAUACUAGUAAAUGGAGCUCAAGCAAAAGCUGAAAUAGGUGAUAACUUCAUUUGCGCAACGAUUGAUUGGUGGCCUCCUGAAUUAUGCAACUUCGGCGUUUGUUCUUGGGGACAUUCAUCUAUUGUCAAUUUGGUGUGUAUUUUUAGAUUUUCACCUGUAUAGAAAAUGAAAUCAAUGCUUUUAAAAUUUUAUGUUUCCUUGGAAAGCAAGCUAACCUGUUUUAAUCAUUGUUCAGGACUUAUCUCAUCCUCUCCUUGCCAAAGCAAUCCAAGGUUUGUAUGUCUAAAUUACUUAAAUGUAUAUGAUUUAGAUAAUUUGUUAGUAUUAUGAUCGAUGUUUUUAAAAAUCGGAUAACAUUGUUGAUGACGUUAUUAUUGUUGAUGGCAUUAUUAAUGUGGCUGCAUGAAGUUUAAAUGUAUUAAGCAUAAUGUUAUUCUUUUCAUAUCAUUUUCGGAUAGCCCUCAAACCUUUGAGGAUAAGACUUGGAGGUUCUCUGCAAGACCAGGUGGUGUAUAACGUAGGAAACUUGAAGUCUCCUGGUCAUCCAUUUCAAAAGGUGAAAGGUGGAUUUUUAGGAUUUUCAGAGGGAUCUUUACACAUGCAAAGGUGGGAUGAGCUGAAUCAUUUUUUCAACAAGACAGGGUGAGAAUCUAUACAUUAUAUUUGUUAUUAUCGUCACCGCCACCUUCACUUUCUCUUCUUUUAAACCAAAUAAAAAGGAUAGUUUCAAUUUAGUGCUUUCUUCCUUAUAAUUGAAGACUUUAGGUGAUUUAUUUAUUUUGUUAUUUGGAGCGAUUCAAUAUAUUGUCUUCUAUCCUGUACUAUUGCAACAGUUUUUGUUAGCUUACAAAGAGUGUCUGAGAUAUCAGGAUGUGAUCGACCCCAUUUUGUGUAAAUAUGUACCAAAACAAAGAACUUGGAUAUAUGUGUCUGGUAGAAUUAUGAUUACGUCUGGUAGAAUUGUAACUUAAUUGAAGUUUGACACAUGCAGGGCCAUUGUGAUGUUUGGGUUGAAUGCGCUCAGUGGGAGGCACAAGAUUAGUAACACUAGUAAUGUUUGGGAAGGAGCCUGGGACCCUACAAAUGCUUAUGAUUUUAUAAAGUACACUGUUUCAAAGGGAUACAAGAUUGAUGCAUGGGAAUUUGGUACGACAAUAGACAAAGUAGUUUGUUAUUUUUGUUAACGCAUUAGUUUGUUUUAGCAUAUGCCCAAUUGGCGGAGUGUUAAUGGACUGAUCUAUAGUUGUCAAAGCCUAAGGGUUCGUGGUCCAAAAGGUCUAAACAAGUGUUGUCAAUCGUGGAUCAUAGAAAAUAGUGAUUAUUUAAAUUCUACGCAACAAUGUUGAAGUCCCGCUGUAACUGUUAUUGACAACAUUUUGUUAGCGUAUGGCGGAGCAACACUGGUCUAAGCCAUUUGAUCUUCAUCCCACUUUAGUCUUCUUUGUUGUUAUCAGAUGUGGACUUAUUGCAUAUGCUUAUGUAGGUAAUGAGUUGAGUGGUACAGGCGUUGGUGCAUCAGUUGUCGUUGCACAGUAUGGGAAAGACGUGAUAAACCUUAAACGAAUUCUAGAUGAGUUAUACAAGAACUCGAGGUUCAAACCCUUACUUGUAGCACCUGAUGGAAGUUAUGAUAAGGAAUGGUACAAUAAGCUUCUUCAGCUUUCUGGUCCAGGCGUAAUCAAUGUUCUGACUCAUCAUUUAUAUAACAUAGGCCGAGGUUUGCUUAUCACUCACAUAAUUCUUUCUAGUAUUG
rnacentral:lncRNA from 1 species